rnacentral:rRNA from 1 species
UACGUAGGGGGCUAGCGUUGUCCGGAAUCAUUGGGCGUAAAGCGCGUGUAGGCGGUCCGGUAAGUCCGCUGUGAAAGUCGGGGGCUCAACCCUCGGAUGCCGGUGGAUACUGUCGGGCUUGAGUACGGAAGAGGCGAGUGGAAUUCCCAGUGUAGCGGUGAAAUGCGCAGAUAUUGGGAAGAACACCAGUGGCGAAGGCGGUUCUCUGGGACGGUACUGACGCUGAGACGCGAAAGCGUGGGGAGCGAACAGG